rnacentral:lncRNA from 1 species
AAUGCUGUUGAUUCUGAAGUCAGAGCUGGCAGCAUUACUGGUGGCUCAGGAUGAAAAAGCACUUUCUCGCUCUGAUGAGGUAUAAAGGCAGCCUUAGAAACAUCCAUCAGAUACCCAAGGGGAAUCCCAUCAUCCGGUUCAACAGAAAUAAUAGCAGAACAAAUGGACACAAGAUACUGGCCACUCCUUUCAUCAACUCUUAGCACAUGCCUCUGAGGCACAGGGCUGCUCACGGCUACCACCACUGUGGAGAGCUGGAUCGCACUCCAGCCUGCCAACCUUUGAUGGACAGGUGGAGUGUCUAUAAUCCCAUGGAGGCUCUGUCCCUGUGCCUGCAGUCUGUUGGUCACGGUUUUGCGACUGAAACAGUUGGCCUGCUGAGGAUGGGCGGCUGAGCCUGGGUCUUAUGGGCUGCGGGGCUCUGGUUUGAUACCAACAUGCUCUGAUAAUGCUGGAAUUCUGCACAGGAGAAGGCACAAUGCUCCUGGAAGAACAU